GACGUAGGGGGCCAGCGUUGUUCGGAAUUACUGGGUGUAAAGGGUUCGUAGGCGGCACGGCAAGUCGGGAGUGAAAGCCCGGGGCUCAACCCCGGAACGUCUUUCGAAACUGCCGAGCUAGAGUGCGGAAGGGGCAACUGGAAUUCCCAGUGUAGCGGUCGAAAUGCGUAGAUAUUGGGAAGAACACCGGUGGCGAAGGCGGCGACCUGGUCCUUUACUGACGCUGAGGCGCGAAAUGCGUGGGGAGCAAACAGG
rnacentral:rRNA from 1 species